AGAAAUGGGUUUCUAUGUAGCGCAGAAUCUUCCUAUGUUUUAUCUCUCUUAAGCAAGCGGGCGCGUAAACACGGAUGUGAGAGAGAUUUUAUUAUAUCCGAUGGAGCGCAGGGCAUCUGGGAACUAUUAAACAAGACAAUCUCAGGAACUAUUAAAGUAUUUUAAACAUUUUUCGAAAAAUAUAAGGAACUGUGGUUCUAGCGGCAAAAACCUUACGGUUUUAGCGCGGCUAGAAUUUUAUGAUCUAAUAUCGGCAGAUUUGAUGUCUUAUUGUUAGUAUAAGAGUAUGUCACAUCUUGAAUAAAAAUAUGUCAUUGUAUUGAAGGCAGCUGGAAGGGCGUUAAUGAUAUGUGAACAUGGAGCGCCAAAACAAAUCUUCUCCACUCCUUCUCUGGCACCAGAGAUCAAACGUAUUGACCUAGAUAAAUGACUUGCACUGAUGAGUUGAUGCGGAAGGGUGACUGAGGCUAUUAAAUGGUGCCUUUUAAUAAUGUUUUCGAUUGGGAAAAAGUUAGUGCGUACCAGUGCAUACUCAGUUCACACGAGUUCCAUGGAUUGCACUGAAUAGUGCAAGUUCAAAAGAACACGCCAAGAUUUUCAGUGCUAAAGCUGAAAUGCCAUUUUAAGUUGUAAGAUUGUAAGGACUUGACUAGACUGCAGGAAGAACGCAGAAAAAUAACCUCGAUAUCUCAUGUUCAUAACUUUAACCACUGAUUGUAUUAGUUGUUGGAUGUCAUUACGAAAUAGAUUUUCUAAAGAACGUGCCAAAAAGACACUCUCAGGAUCAGCUACACAAACGGAAUGGCCGUUAAUGAAAUGUGUGAUUCGACUCUACGCUUUUCUAAAUCUUAUUGCAAAAGAAUAAAAUAAAAACAGUAAUAACAAGCCAAUAAAACCUAUUGAUUUAACACAUGAUAAAAAUGCUGUUGAUCAAAACAAUGCUGAUCAGUCAAAAACAUUUGUAUGGCCGGACAAAGCAGUAUUAUUAUUAAUCGAAUUAUAUAGAGAAAGAGAGGAAGAAUUUUCAAAUGGUUUUAAGCGCAGCAACAAAAUUUGGGCUGAAAUUGCAGCUCAGAUAGAGGAAACUAAUUCAGCUUAUAACAUAACAGCACUUUAGUGUUCGUCCAAAAUGUCCAGCUUGAAGCGGACAUACAAAAAUAUUAUUGAUUUGAAUAAGAAAAGUGGCAAUCAUAAAAAUA